AGAAUUGACUGACCAAAGGCCCUGCAUCUCCUCACAGAAGGGUGUGGCCAAAGGAGUCAACAAAAGAUUCAACAUGGGGUUCACCGGAGUCUGGGCUUUGUCAAGUGUGCCGAGGACACAUGUUGAAUGAGAAGUGCUUGAGAGAAGUUGCCGCAGAGGACCAGGACAGUGACAGAGACAUUACAGGUACCGAUCAUCGUCAUCUUCUAGAGAGAACACCGAAGACAAGACUGGCAACCCACAUUCGCCUCCAUACAGUACAUUAUCGACAGCCCAUUAGAACAGAUUAUGAUGAGUCCUCCACGGAAUGUGUUCUAGAAAACUUGUUACUAUAUAAUCAAUUCUUUCCCCUUUUUAUCUUAGCUGCUGGGGGGUGUCCAAUAAAUUUCACAUAAGUUUUCUUCUUUCCCUUUCUUUCAUUUUAACUUUCCAUGGGUUUGUAGAUAUCUGCGUUGAUAACUAUGUCUCUAUGUGUUUCUACAACUACAUUUACACUUACAUCUCUGUGGCAAGCUGCCUCUCGUCUGGUUUGGAAGCAAUCAAGACAUAAAUCAUAAAUAUAGAGUAGAACUCAAAGCAAUUGAACAACUUGUGAAUCUAGACAGAGUAUUUUGGCAGGAGAAAGUAAACCCAUUUUUUAAGCGUAUUAGCCUGAAUAAAGACAGAUUUCAGUGGGUUUGGAUUUUGCAUUAAUUUUAUUCAGAUCUCCUUUAUUUUAGUGUAUUUGCUCACUCUCAGACUUUAAAAAAAUGUGGAGCAGAGAAAAACACAUGGACAUGUUGAGACAGAGAUUCCAGUUAUUAAUUGAAAAAAUAAGAAAUUUCUGUUUACAGAAAACUUGGAUGAUUCAUUAUUAAUUUAUUUGUCAAAACAUAAUUGCACUGUGCACACAUUACUAUUAAUUUCGACUGACACACUUUGAUGACAAAGUGGGAAAUAUAUCAUUAAGUUUUAAAGUCAAUUAUAAAGGUGCAAAUCAGGGAUUCUAACACAAAUUUUCCUUUUCUU
rnacentral:lncRNA from 1 species